AGUGAACGCUGGCGGUAGGCCUAACACAUGCAAGUCGAACGGCAGCACAGGAGAGCUUGCUCCCUGGGUGGCGAGUGGCGGACGGGUGAGGAAUACAUCGGAAUCUACUCUGUCGUGGGGGAUAACGUAGGGAAACUUACGCUAAUACCGCAUACGACCUACGGGUGAAAGCAGGGGACCUUCGGGCCUUGCGCGAUUGAAUGAGCCGAUGUCGGAUUAGCUAGUUGGCGGGGUAAAGGCCUACAAAGGCGACGAUCCGUAGCUGGUCUGAGAGGAUGAUCAGGCACCCUGGAACUGAGACCCGGUCCAGACUCUUACGGGAUGCAGCAGUGGGAAAUAUUGGCAAAGGGGCGCAAGCCUGAUCCAGCCAUACCGCGUGGGUGAAGAAGGCCUUCGGGUUGUAAAGCCCUUUUGUUGGGAAAGAAAUCCAGCUGGCUAAUACCCGGUUGGGAUGACGGUACCCAAAGAAUAAGCACCGGCUAACUUCGUGCCAGCCGCCGCAGUAA
rnacentral:rRNA from 1 species